rnacentral:lncRNA from 1 species
GGCUGGGCCGGUGGUCACCUAAAUAAAAUCCUCCUGUUCCACCAAGUGGUCUCUCCAGCCUCCUGAUUCCCACAACAUUUUGGCGAGCCAGCCAGGAGGGGAGACUACAGGUUUACUGUCUCCUUUGGCUGUGGGACUGGAGCCCCGGGCUGGGGGAGACCCGUGACCCAAGGCACCAUUGGGAGAACUUCAACCCGGAGGGGAGAUUGGCUCUCCCAUGACCCGGCGCCCCUCCCUGACAGUGCAUUGGAACCUAAGGGGCUACAGGACGAUUCCAGGACUUCACGCUACAGGACUGCAUUGCAGGAAUUGUGCCUUGGAUCCAUCCAUCCAGUCAGCUGAAACCAGCAGUCCAGGACCAGCCAACAGGACCUAGACCAUGCAACCCAGCUGAUCCUACGAUGGAACCAAGGUGCCAAUGAGAUGACAACAGCCCUGCUCUGGUCACUCCGGAAGCUGACCAGUCCACGCAUGGCUGAAGCUUGAGGAGACAACAGCCCUGC